GACGAACGCUGGCGGCGUGCCUAACACAUGCAAGUCGAGCGGAGAUAAGGAGCUUGCUCCUUAUCUUAGCGGCGGACGGGUGAGUAACACGUGAGUAACCUGCCUUACAGAGGGGGAUAACACACCGAAAGGUGUGCUAAUACCGCAUAACCCUGCAGUGUCGCAUGACACAGCAGGCAAAGGAGUAAUCCGCUGUUAGAUGGACUCGCGUCUGAUUAGCUAGUUGGUGAGGUAAUGGCUCACCAAGGCGACGAUCAGUAGCCGGACUGAGAGGUCGAUCGGCCACAUUGGGACUGAGACACGGCCCAGACUCCUACGGGAGGCAGCAGUGGGGGAUAUUGCGCAAUGGGGGAAACCCUGACGCAGCAACGCCGCGUGAAGGAUGAAGGUCUUCGGAUCGUAAACUUCUGUCUUUGGGGAAGAAUAAAUGACGGUACCCAAGGAGGAAGCCACGGCUAACUACGUGCCAGCCGCCGCAGUAAAAC
rnacentral:rRNA from 1 species